CGUUGUUCGGAAUUACUGGGCGUAAAGGGCGCGUAGGCGGCCCUCUAAGUCAGACGUGAAAUCCCCCGGCUUAACCUGGGAACUGCGUCUGAUACUGGAGGGCUUGAGUAUGGGAGAGGGAUGUAGAAUUCCAGGUGUAGCGGUGAAAUGCGUAGAUAUCUGGAGGAAUACCGGUGGCGAAGGCGGCAUCCUGGACCAUUACUGACGCUGAGGCGCGAAAGCUAGGGGAGCAAACGGG
rnacentral:rRNA from 1 species